rnacentral:rRNA from 1 species
AACGUAGGACACGAGCGUUAUCCGGAGUUACUGGGCGUAAAGGGCGGGUAGGUGGUGCGAUAAGACUGGUGUGAAAGCCUUCGGCUUAACCGAGGGAGGACACUGGUGACUGUCGGACUUGAGGCAGAUAGAGGGGUGUAGAAUUCCGGGUGUAGUGGUGAAAUGCGUAGAGAUCCGGAGGAAUACCAGAGGCGAAGGCGGCACCCUGGGUCUGACCUGACACUGAUCCGCGACAGCAUGGGGAGCGAAGG